GUAAACGCUGGCGGCGUGCCUAAUACAUGCAAUUCGAGCGGACAGAUGGGAGCUUGCUCCCUGAUGUUAGCGGCGGACGGGUGAGUAACACGUGGGUAACCUGCCUGUAAGACUGGGAUAACUCCGGGAAACCGGGGCUAAUACCGGAUGGUUGUUUGAACCGCAUGGUUCAAACAUAAAAGGUGGCUUCGGCUACCACUUACAGAUGGACCCGCGGCGCAUUAGCUAGUUGGUGAGGUAACGGCUCACCAAGGCAACGAUGCGUAGCCGACCUGAGAGGGUGAUCGGCCACACUGGGACUGAGACACGGCCCAGACUCCUACGGGAGGCAGCAGUAGGGAAUCUUCCGCAAUGGACGAAAGUCUGACGGAGCAACGCCGCGUGAGUGAUGAAGGUUUUCGGAUCGUAAAGCUCUGUUGUUAGGGAAGAACAAGUACCGUUCGAAUAGGGCGGUACCUUGACGGUACCUAACCAGAAAGCCACGGCUA
rnacentral:rRNA from 1 species